rnacentral:rRNA from 1 species
UACGUAGGUGACGAGCGUUGUCCGGAUUUACUGGGCGUAAAGAGCGCGCAGGCGGUCGUUCAAGUCGAGUGUGAAAGCCCCCGGCUCAACUGGGGAGGGUCACUCGAUACUGAUCGACUCGAAGGCAGGAGAGGGUAGUGGAAUUCCCGGUGUAGUGGUGAAAUGCGUAGAUAUGCGGAGGAACACCGAUGGCGAAGGCAAUCCCCUGGGCCUGCACUGACGCUCAUGCACGAAAGCGUGGGGAGCAAACAGG